CCUACGGGUGGCUGCAGUGAGGAAUAUUUGUCAAUGGGCGCGAGCCUGAACCAGCCAAGUAGCGUGAAGGAUGACUGCCCUACGGGUUGGAAACUUCUUUUAUAAAGGAAUAAAGUGAUGCACGUGUGCCUUUUUGUAUGUAAGUUAUGAAUAAGGCACGGCUAACUCCGUGCCAGCAGCCGCGGUAAUAAGGAGGAUCCGAGCGUUAUCCUGAUUUAUUGGGUUUAAAGGGAGCGUAGAUGGGUUGUUAAGUCAGUUGUGAAAGUUUGCGGCUAAACAGUAAAAUUGCAAUUGAUACUGGCAGUCUUGAGUACAGUUGAGGUAGGCGGAAUUCGUGGUGUAGCGGUGAAAUGCUUAGAUAUCACGAAGAACUCCGAUUGCGAAGGCAGCUUACUAAACUGCCACUGACAUUGAUGCUCGAAAGUGUGGGUAUCAAACAGGAUUAGAUACCCGAGUAGUC
rnacentral:rRNA from 1 species